rnacentral:rRNA from 1 species
UACGGAGGAGGCAAGCGUUAUCCGGAAUUAUUGGGCGUAAAGCGUCCGCAGGUGGCACUUCAAGUCUGGCGUCAAAGACUGGGGCUUAACCCUGGAAAGGCGGUGGAAACUGAAGCGCUAGAGUGCGGUAGGGGUAGAGGGAAUUCCUGGUGUAGCGGUGAAAUGCGCAGAUAUCAGGAAGAACACCCGUGGCGAAGGCGGUUCUCUGGGACGGUACUGACGCUGAGACGCGAAAGCGUGGGGAGCGAACAGG